rnacentral:rRNA from 1 species
AACGAACGCUGGCGGCAUGCCUAACACAUGCAAGUCGAACGAGACCUUCGGGUCUAGUGGCGCACGGGUGCGUAACGCGUGGGAACCUGCCCUUAGGUUUGGAAUAACUCCCCGAAAGGGGUGCUAUACCGGAACAUGUUCUCGGACCAAAGAAUUUAUUGCUUUGGAUGGGUCCGUGUUGGAUUAGCUAGUUGGUAGGGUAAAAACCUACCAAGGCGACGAUUCAUAGCUGGGCUGAGAGGAUGGUCAGCCACACUGGGGCUGAGACACGGCCCAGACUCCUACGGGAGGCAGCAGUGGGGAAUAUUGGACAAUGGGCGAAAGCCUGAUCCAGCAAUGCCGCGUGAGUGAUGAAGGCCUUAGGGUUGUAAAGCUCUUUUACCCGGGAUGAUAAUGACGGUACCGGGAGAAUAAGCUCCGGCUAACUCCGUG